AUUGAACGCUGGCGGCAGGCUUAACACAUGCAAGUCGAACGAGACCUUCGGGUCUAGUGGCGCACGGGUGCGUAACGCGUGGGAAUCUGCCCUUUGCUACGGAAUAACUCAGAGAAAUUUGUGCUAAUACCGUAUAAUGUCGCAAGACCAAAGAUUUAUCGGCAAAGGAUGAGCCCGCGUAAGAUUAGCUUGUUGGUGGGGUAAAGGCCUACCAAGGCGACGAUCUUUAGCUGGUUUGAGAGGAUGAUCAGCCACACUGGGACUGAGACACGGCCCAGACUCCUACGGGAGGCAGCAGUGGGGAAUAUUGGACAAUGGGCGAAAGCCUGAUCCAGCAAUGCCGCGUGAGUGAUGAAGGCCUUAGGGUUGUAAAGCUCUUUUACCAGGGAUGAUAAUGACAGUACCUGGAGAAUAAGCUCCGGCUAACUCCGUGCCAGCCGCCGCGGUAAAAC
rnacentral:rRNA from 1 species